AGUAGAGGAAGAUGCAGAAUCCUCUUCUCAUUUGGAGAGUAUCUCUGAGAGUCGACCACAGAGGUAUGUGGAUAUUUCAUCUGGAGCUGCAGGUCAAAUGGGGGAAAAUAUAUUAAGUGGACAAAUAGAAGGUGUGUCUUAUAUAUCUUCUUGCACGAGAGGAUCAA